rnacentral:rRNA from 1 species
CACGUAGGGCGCAAGCGUUGUCCGGAAUUAUUGGGCGUAAAGAGCUCGUAGGCGGUCUGUUGCGUCCGCUGUGAAAACCCGGGGCUUAACCCCUGGCUUGCAGUGGAUACGGACAGACUAGAGGUAGGUAGGGGAGAAUGGAAUUCCCGGUGUAGAGGUGAAAUUCGUAGAUAUCGGGAGGAACACCAGUGGCGAAGGCGGCGAUCUGGGAAGAUACUGACGCUGAGGUGCGAAAGCGUGGGGAGCAAACAGG